rnacentral:lncRNA from 1 species
GUCUGCCAGCAAAUAGAGACUUUACAUGACUCCUACCGAAUAUCCGAACGUGGGGGAAUACAAAGGAUGAUAGGGCUGUCACCACCCUGCCACCUACCCCUAUGCCCGUGGGAUACCCGCAUAUCCUCAGGUCUCCGCAUACCCGGGCACCAUGCCCGUGUACUUGGAAACACCCCCUAGCCUCCCGAGACCCCAACCCUUUGGAUUGACAGGCUCGGCUAAGGGUGACCAUUACAGCCCAG